GGAGUUCAGACCUGUGGUCUUGGGAUCUGUCUUCAUGGACUAGAGUUUGUAAAUUCCUGUAUCUCUGGAGCUGGAAACAUACGUUGUUCCUGACUGGCAGCCAGAGGACAGCCCUUUGAGGGAUCCACUGCUAAAUACUGGGAUCUCCCAGGUGACGUAUAACUGGCUCAUGACUUAGCAUCUGGUGCCACAUGAAACAUCACAGGUACCUUAAUCCCAUCUCUUUCAACAGGUGGGCCUGGCUGAUGCCUUGCGGGGGGGGGGGGGGGGACAUGCCACAUGUCACCAGCCCCACCAUCUCAUGCCUUUGCCAUGCAGCUCCUGACUGCCCAGGGGACACCCAGGGGUGGCUCACGAGCCCUAGAAACUGAAAGUCGGGAGCCCAAGGUCAUGUACCAAAGGUCAUGAGAAUUUUGCAUUUUCUGUUGCUCUCAUUUCUGGUCAUCAAAACCACCUCUCUGAGGCGGCGAAAGGGAAGGGAUCCGAGAAAACCACAGCCCAGUUUUGUUUGGUUCUGUUUUGUUCGGGGUUUUGUUUUCGUUUUUGUUUUUCCACCUACCACAAGUUCUUUUCUUCC